GAUGAACGCUGGCGGCGUGCCUAAUACAUGCAAGUCGAGCGAAUGGAUUGAGAGCUUGCUCUCAAGAAGUUAGCGGCGGACGGGUGAGUAACACGUGGGUAACCUGCCCAUAAGACUGGGAUAACUCCGGGAAACCGGGGCUAAUACCGGAUAACAUUUUGAACUGCAUGGUUCGAAAUUGAAAGGCGGCUUCGGCUGUCACUUAUGGGUGGACCCGCGUCGCAUUAGCUAGUUGGUGAGGUAACGGCUCACCAAGGCAACGAUGCGUAGCCGACCUGAGAGGGUGAUCGGCCACACUGGGACUGAGACACGGCCCAGACUCCUACGGGAGGCAGCAGUAGGGAAUCUUCCGCAAUGGACGAAAGUCUGACGGAGCAACGCCGCGUGAGUGAUGAAGGCUUUCGGGUCGUAAAACUCUGUUGUUAGGGAAGAACAAGUGCUAGUUGAAUAAGCUGGCACCUUGACGGUACCUAACCAGAAAGCCACGGCUAACUACGUGCCAGCCGCCGCAGUAAUAC
rnacentral:rRNA from 1 species